GCUCUGGAGAGCUCAGUUGAGCAUGAGACUCUUAAUCUCAAGGUUGUGAGUUUGAGCCCCACGUUGGGCA